UAAGCCGGCCAUAGCGUUUGGGUGCGACCCAAUCCCAUUCCGAACUUGGAAGUCAAACCAAAUGUCGCUGCUGUGUUACUGACAUGCGAGAGCCGUUGGGAAGCAACAGUGCUGGCAUCU
rfam:Candidatus Nitrosopelagicus brevis strain CN25, complete genome.